rnacentral:rRNA from 1 species
AACAGGAUUAGAUACCCUGGUAGUCCAUGCCGUAGACGAUGAGUGCUAGGUGUUGGAGGGUUUCCGCCCUUCAGUGCCGGAGCUAACGCAUUAAGCACUCCGCCUGGGGAGUGCGACCGCAAGGUUGAAACUCAAAGGAAUAGACGGGGGCCCGCACAAGCGGUGGAGCAUGUGGUUUAAUUCGAAGCUACGCGAAGAACCUUACCAGGUCUUGACAUCUUGCGCCAACCCUAGAGAUAGGGCGUUUCCUUCGGGAACGCAAUGACAGGUGGUGCAUGGUCGUCGUCAGCUCGUGUCGUGAGAUGUUGGGUUAAGUCCCGCAACGAGCGCAACCCUUGUUACUAGUUGCCAGCAUUAAGUUGGGCACUCUAGUGAGACUGCCGGUGACAAACCGGAGGAAGGUGGGGACGACGUCAGAUCAUCAUGCCCCUUAUGACCUGGGCUACACACGUGCUACAAUGGACGGUACAACGAGUCGCGAACUCGCGAGGGCAAGCAAAUCUCUUAAAACCGUUCUCAGUUCGGACUGCAGGCUGCAACUCGCCUGCACGAAGUCGGAAUCGCUAGUAAUCGCGGAUCAGCAUGCCGCGGUGAAUACGUUCCCGGGCCUUGUACACACCGCCCGUCACACCAUGAGAGUUUGUAACACCCAAAGUCGGUGGGGUAACCUUUUAGGAGCCAGCCGCCUAAGGUGGGACAGAUGAUUAGGGUGAAGUCGUAACAAGGUAACC